AGUGAACGCUGGCGGCAUGCCUUACACAUGCAAGUCGAACGGCAGCACGGGAGCAAUCCUGGUGGCGAGUGGCGAACGGGUGAGUAAUGUAUCGGAACGUGCCCAGUCGUGGGGGAUAACGUAGCGAAAGCUACGCUAAUACCGCGUACGAUCUGUGGAUGAAAGCGGGGGACCGUAAGGCCUCGCGCGAUUGGAGCGGCCGAUAUCAGAUUAGGUAGUUGGUGGGGUAAAGGCCUACCAAGCCGACGAUCUGUAGCUGGUCUGAGAGGACGACCAGCCACACUGGGACUGAGACACGGCCCAGACUCCUACGGGAGGCAGCAGUGGGGAAUUUUGGACAAUGGGCGCAAGCCUGAUCCAGCAAUGCCGCGUGCAGGAUGAGGGCCUUCGGGUUGUAAACUGCUUUUGUACGGAGCGAAAAGGCUCUCUCUAAUACAGGGGGCUCAUGACGGUACCGUAAGAAUAAGCACCGGCUAACUACGUGCCAGCCGCCGCAGUAA
rnacentral:rRNA from 1 species